rnacentral:rRNA from 1 species
CAGUAGCCGCGGGAAUACGGAGGGUGCGAGCGUUAAUCGGAAUAACUGGGCGUAAAGGGCACGCAGGCGGUGACUUAAGUGAGGUGUGAAAGCCCCGGGCUUAACCUGGGAAUUGCAUUUCAUACUGGGUCGCUAGAGUACUUUAGGGAGGGGUAGAAUUCCACGUGUAGCGGUGAAAUGCGUAGAGAUGUGGAGGAAUACCGAAGGCGAAGGCAGCCCCUUGGGAAAGUGCUGACGCUCAUGUGCGAAAGCGUGGGGAGCAAACAGGAUUAGAUACCCGGGUAGUCCCUGUCUCUUAUAC